CCUACGGGAGGCAGCAGUAGGGAAUAUUGCUCAAUGGGGGAAACCCUGAAGCAGCAACGCCGCGUGGAGGAUGAAGGUUUUCGGAUUGUAAACUCCUUUUGUUAGAGAAGAUAAUGACGGUAUCUAACGAAUAAGCACUGGCUAACUCCGUGCCAGCAGCCGCGGUAAUACGGAGGGUGCAAGCGUUACUCGGAAUCACUGGGCGUAAAGAGCGCGUAGGCGGGAUAGCAAGUCAGAUGUGAAAUCCUAUGGCUUAACCAUAGAACUGCAUUUGAAACUGUUAUUCUAGAGUAUGGGAGAGGUAGGUGGAAUUCUUGGUGUAGGGGUAAAAUCCGUAGAGAUCAAGAGGAAUACUCAUUGCGAAGGCGGCCAACUGGGCUUUAACUGACGCUGAGGCUCGAAAGUGUGGGGAGCAAACAGGAUUAGAUACCCGGGUAGUC
rnacentral:rRNA from 1 species